AUACGGAGGGUCCGAGCGUUAAUCGGAAUUACUGGGCGUAAAGCGUACGCAGGCGGUUUGUUAAGCGAGAUGUGAAAGCCCCGGGCUCAACCUGGGAACUGCAUUUCGAACUGACAAACUAGAGUUUUGUAGAGGGUGGUAGAAUUUCAGGUGUAGCGGUGAAAUGCGUAGAGAUCUGAAGGAAUACCAGUGGCGAAGGCGGCCACCUGGACAAUAACUGACGCUCAUGUACGAAAGCGUGGGGAGCAAACGGGAUUAGAAACCCCAGUAGUCC
rnacentral:rRNA from 1 species